GAGUUAGAUUUGUUUGGUUUUAGAAGCACGGUAUUCUUCACGCUAUCAAGUUAUUUUCGGUGCUAUAACUUUUGAAUGACGAUAUACUCUGGUAGAUUUGAUAAUUUAAAGUAGCUAGAAAAUAAAUUUCAUAUUUUUUUAAUAUUAUUUACUUAGUAAUCGAAAUGAUCUGAAAUUAAUAAUUUAAAUAAAAGAUCAUAGUAAAUUAUUUGCAAAUUUAACGAUAUAGAAAUAUACAAAUCAUGUGAAAUUUUAAUAAAAAAUUUUAUACUAUAAAAAAUAAGAUCAAUAUUUUUUAUUUAAAAUUUUAAUGUUAUAUUAUUAAUUUUUAUAAUUUUUUUUACUGUCGAUUUUGAGCCCUCGAUUAUUAAGCAAAUAAUAUCAAAAAAUUUAAAAAUUUAAUUUUUAGAUAUUUUAGAUAUUUUAGAUUAAUUUUAAGGGAAUAGAUUAUUGAUUUUAAGCUUUCAAUAUUAAAAAUAAUUUAAUAAUAUGGAGA
rnacentral:lncRNA from 1 species